CCUUUGUGCUCAAAUAAUGUAAUGCUAUGCUUUCCAUUUUGAAACGCAAUUACUACUAGUGGGAUUUAUGCCAUAGGAGAAGAAUUUUUGUUGCUAAAUCUUUUGGUUGUUCAGGCUGCUUUGUCUCACCGCAUAGUUACUUACAUGACUUCGCAUACAUAGAUAUGCAGCUAAAGAUACGUAUAUAUGUGGGGGGGUGUUGGUUUGGGAUGUCUUUUUAAGGAAGUUACUGUGAAAGACAUUAUGAUGAUAUGAAUCGUUAUGAUGAGCGCAAUUUUCAUGGAAAAGAUGAUGAGACUCCUGGUACAUAUUCACUGUAUCCCCUGAGCACACUCAUUUUCUAAUAUUCUGGAGGUAGAUGAGGGAUCUCAGCUGACAGCUCACCAAUUUCCACCCACUCUGACAUAAUUCUCUAGUCUGCUCUAGACACAAUUAGCUCCAUCUCUGCUGGGAGCACUCAGUAGCAAGCCCUUGGAUGCUGCUCCCUAUGUCUCCUUACUGGGGACCCACACAGGGUGUGCUGAAGAUUUCCUGGCAGACCACGUGCCCAUGUUUUUCCUGGUGGCAGCAAGGACUGGGGAAAGGAAAGAAGGGCUUGCUUAACCAUAGACUUGUAUUCUCUAUUUUGUUGUACAAGUCAGUUAGGAAAGAAAUGAAUCGCUGCAGAUUCCUGGAGCAUUUAUUGUGCAUCCGGAGGUUUGCUUUUCCCUUAGUAUCACAGAUAACAUGGUAUUAGCUUAGAGUGAUGAUGAAGAGCUAAUUCUCCCUGGUUUGGAUUGUAUCUCCUGUGCCAAUAUUUCAGUGGACUAAACUGUUCUCAAGAAUGUUCUCAAAUGAGAUAAAAUCAACAAACUGAAGCCAAUUUCUCUUACACACAGCCAUAAAGCUCUUUCAAAAAAAGUCUGAAAUUAUGCUUCAUGAUAAGUAUUUCAGCUGCUGCUUUAGCAUUGUCUAACUGCAGUGAUUUAGAGCAAAGCCUUGCCUGCAUUUCGGUGAAAGCAAGGAGAAAUUUGUACUCAGUCUUGCCUGGCCAGCUGGAUUCUGAGUACAAGUCAAGCCCUUGUACCACCCUUACUCAGUGAUAAGUGUGCAAACAGGGUGAGAGAAGGUUGGCAUUUUAGUUCAGGUCAGAACUGCACUUCUGAAGCAAAUCUGAUUUCUCCCACUUCCUGUGCUUUUUCUUGCACUGCAUAUGAGCUGGACUUUUGGGUGAAACCAGCUUCGGAAAGGUACUCCAGGAGGACAAUCCCUGUGCUCCAGCCAGUCAGUACAUGGGACCAGACUGAAAAACCCAACCACGUGGAUAAUAGGGAUGUGGGGUCCUCAUUACCAACUGUAGAUCUGUUCCUGUUUGGCUCUUUAGCUUCCUAGUGUAGAUACAGCCAUCUGACAUCCAGAAUCCAUCAGCAGGGAAGAAAACGGAGGAGGCUAUAAGAACAAAAAAAUCGCAGUGGUUGAAGGUGUGAAACUGGAUUCAUAAUGAGAAGAACAAACUGAUUAAGCAAUAUACCAGUUACGGAAAAGACUCAAAAGUAUCACCAAAAAGAGGACUGAGCAAUACUCUGAAUUUCAUGUCUUUGACGAACCAUCAUUCAAGGAGGCUGACCCAGCUGUACUGGAGGUGAAGAGAAGCCUGAUCCACUUCUCUCUGUGUGAAACUUGGAAACAGCAGUGGAAUGCCUACACAGCUUGGCCAACAACAAAUGUGCUGGAAAUUCCUCAAGGGGAAGAAGAUCCCUCUCCCGCUAGCUGA